AAAUGGGCAGCAGAAGGAUCUAUAAGAAAAUGGUGGGAUUGAGGAUGGGCUUGGAUCCAAUCAAGAAAACCAGCCUUCGGUAAAGAUCUAGAGAUGAACGAAGAGGAAACCGCCAUGCUUGGCAGCCAUAACAAGGGUCGCUGGAAACAUGUGUUCUACAAAGUAAGAUCUGAGU